CCAUCCAUAAGGAUAUAUAGGCUGGCGCUGAGUCAUGCGAUCCAAAGUGAUAUCGGUCAGUCCAUAUUUGGGUAUCCUGGCGCACCAGUUCCUCCCUGACAUGAGCGGGAAGCCAAUCCCCUCCUGGCGCUCAUCCAGCUCUCCGGGAUGUGGGAGGCGGAGGAGGCGCACUGCUGCCCUCCCUCACCCUGCAGGCGGGGACAGGAUGGUUAGGUGAGGAGGGUGCGUAAACUAUUGGGCGUGAUGUCUUCAAAAAUGCAUGAAGCAUAAUAGGUGUCUGGCAGAGGAAGACAUACUCAGGAUAUCAGACAGGUACAGUUAAACCCAGUGACUGAAUGUCCAACAGUGAAUGUGCCCGAGUCAGCAGGAUGGCAUCUUUGACUGUGGAGAGGAGCCAGAGCACUUAAGCCUGCAGCACCUCUCCAUAUUGUUCUGUCUGCCACACAACAAAACCAGGGCCUCUGCUGCAAAACACAGCCAGGAGCAGCACUGAGCUGCAGAGAGCCGGGGCAGGUCAGGGGGCCGUUGGUGUACAAGUUGGUCAGUCACGCAAACAUUUCUUUUUUGUUUGUUUGUUUUAUUGUUUGCUAUAUUCUGCUUGGCUUUGACUGUGUUGUGAUCUCAAAUAAUGACGAGCAACGAGAAAGCCAGACCGUUUGAUACUAUGACAGCAGAGGUGAGUUAGUGUCUGUCCAGACUCUGAUACUUCUUUGAAGUACCUUUGUCUAAUGUCAUUGUGUUAAACUGUCCUGGUAAAACACUUUUCAAAUGGACAGGACUCUCAGGGAGAUAAUACAAGGUCCAGAUGGGAACAGGAGGAGAAACUGAUUCUUACAGCCUGGCAAAGUAUGUCCUCUGCUCUGCAGCAGCAAAGUCUGUGUGAGGACUCCAGAACUCCAGGCACUGCCCAGUCUUUCCUGGCUAAGCAGAGGCAGUCCACCCAGGCCAGGAGGGCGUUUUCCCUGCAGCCCAGGUAGGACCCUUCAUCGUCAUGGAGAGCCCAGCUUCCUCCUGUCAUGGGCAGAUGUGGGAGAAGGUCUCUGUGUACGUGCUCUGUUUGGUUUGCCGCUAUCACCCCCUGCUGGUAAAAUGUGGUACUAAAGUGACAAUUUUGUAAUUUUGGAACUAGAUAGAAACUAAAGAAGUGUCAUUGAUUAUGUUUUUAUAUCUGUAUUAUACCUAAAUGUAUGUACAUACAUGUAUAUCCUAUAAAUAAUCACUAGAUUGUCAGUUCCAUUCCUCAUUGUGUGAUAUUUCAAAUUUUAUUUUUACAGGUAAGAUUCAAUUUCCAUUAGAAACAAUGCAAAACAAUGACUCAUUUCAUGCCAUCAUUGUAAAGCUAUUUUGUUAACUCAUUCAUUCUUUCCAUUUGUUAUUUGUUUAACUUACAUUUUUGAAAAUACACAAGAUAAUGUAUUAGAGAUCAUUCUAUUUACAGGUUUAUUUUAGUAAUCAAGGUAAAUAAAGUGAAAAAGAAAACAGUUUUAACACAUUUGUCUUCUUUUCGGCACCAUUUCCAGGAUAAAUUUUGAUUAGGCUACAUCUUUAUA